rnacentral:rRNA from 1 species
AGCGGCGGACGGGUGAGUAACACGUGGGUAACCUGCCCAAGAGACUGGGAUAACACCUGGAAACAGAUGCUAAUACCGGAUAACAACACUAGACGCAUGUCUAGAGUUUAAAAGAUGGUUCUGCUAUCACUCUUGGAUGGACCUGCGGUGCAUUAGCUAGUUGGUAAGGUAACGGCUUACCAAGGCAAUGAUGCAUAGCCGAGUUGAGAGACUGAUCGGCCACAUUGGGACUGAGACACGGUCCAUACUCUUACGGGAGGCAGCAGUAGGGAAUCUUCCACAAUGGGCGCAAGCCUGAUGGAGCAACACCGCGUGAGUGAAGAAGGGUUUCGGCUCGUAAAGCUCUGUUGUUGGAGAAGAACGUGCGUGAGAGUAACUGUUCACGCAGUGACGGUAUCCAACCAGAAAGUCACGGCUAACUACGUGCCAGCAGCCGCGGUAAUACGUAGGUGGCAAGCGUUGUCCGGAUUUAUUGGGCGUAAAGCGAGUGCAGGCGGUUCAAUAAGUCUGAUGUGAAAGCCUUCGGCUCAACCGGAGAAUUGCAUCAGAAACUGUUGAACUUGAGUGCAGAAGAGGAGAGUGGAACUCCAUGUGUAGCGGUGGAAUGCGUAGAUAUAUGGAAGAACACCAGUGGCGAAGGCGGCUCUCUGGUCUGCAACUGACGCUNANGCUCGAAAGCAUGGGUAGCGAACAGGAUUAAAUACCCUGGUA